rnacentral:rRNA from 1 species
CCUACGUGGCGCUGCAGUGAGGAAUAUUGGUCAAUGGGCGCGAGCCUGAACCAGCCAAGUCGCGUGAGGGAAGACGGUCCUAUGGAUUGUAAACCUCUUUUGUCGGGGAGCAAAAGACGCCACGCGUGGCGUUCCGAGAGUACCCGAAGAAAAAGCAUCGGCUAACUCCGUGCCAGCAGCCGCGGUAAUACGGAGGAUGCGAGCGUUAUCCGGAUUUAUUGGGUUUAAAGGGUGCGCAGGCGGAAGAUCAAGUCAGCGGUAAAAUUGAGAGGCUCAACCUCUUCGAGCCGUUGAAACUGGGGCUCGUGAGUGGAAGAGAAGUAGGCGGAAUGCGUGGUGUAGCGGUGAAAUGCAUAGAUAUCACGCAGAACCCCGAUUGCGAAGGCAGCAUGCCGGCUUCCGACUGACGCUGAAGCACGAAAGCGUGGGGAUCGAACAGGAUUAGAUACCCUUGUAGUC